rnacentral:RNase_P_RNA from 1 species
AGCAGUCGCCUCAGAUGAGGAGGAAAGUCCGGACUCCCGAAGGGAAAGCGCUGGGUAACUCCCAGGAAGAUACCGCCAAAGCGGUCUCUUACGGAAAGUGCAACAGAAAAUAUACCGCCUGCAAAGUAGGUAAGGGUGAAAAGGCGAGGCAAGAGCUCACCGGAUAAGGAAUAAUCUUUAUGCUUUGUAAACCCCGCUUGGAGCAAGACGAAAUAGGGAAAUAGUGGUAUCCCCUUCUGCCGAUUAUUUCCGGGUGCGUCGCUUGAGGUUGUCGGAAACGGUAACCCUAGAUAAAUGACUGCUGCCGUAACAGGUACAGAAUCCGGCUUAUAGAAC